rnacentral:rRNA from 1 species
CAACUCUUAACAACGGAUAUCUUGGUUCUCGCAACGAUGAAGAACGCAGCGAAAUGCGAUACGUAAUGUGAAUUGCAGAAUUGAGUGAAUCAUCAAAAUUUUGAACGCAUAUUGCGCUCCCGGGUAUUCCCGGAAGCAUGCCUGUUUGAGUGUCA